UGGGGAAUAUUGCACAAUGGGGGAAACCCUGAUGCAGCGACGCCGCGUGAACGAAGAAGGUAUUCGUAUCGUAAAGUUCUGUCCUAUGGGAAGAUAAUGACAGUACCAUAGAAGAAAGCUCCGGAUAAAUACGUGCCAGCAGCCGCGGUAAUACGUAUGGAGCGAGCGUUGUCUGGAAUUAUUUGGCGUAAAGGGUACGCAGGCGGUUUAAUAAGUCGAAUGUGAAAGAUCGGGGCUCAACCCCGCAAAGCAUUGGAAACUGAUAAACUUGAGUAGAGGAGAGGAAAGUGUAAUUCCUAGUGUAGUGGUGAAAUACGUAGAUAUUAGGAGGAAUACCAGUAGCGAAGGCGACUUUCUGGACACAAACUGACGCUGCGGUACGAAAGCGUGGGGGGCAAACAGG
rnacentral:rRNA from 1 species